rnacentral:rRNA from 1 species
AUGUUGUAUCUCUAUCGGACAGUUCUCCCCCUCCUAAAACUCUUAUACUCUAGUUGUUUAUUUAUUUUAUUAGGAGGAAUUUGUGGACUACAAACACACCAGCAGAUGAGCAGAAGUGGUGAGGAUGUCAUCACUUCCCCUACGGUGAAACUCCAAUCAGGUUGGAUGAUCAUAGUUAUUAAGCAAUUAAAUACCUGGACACACUCAACCAUGAUCUUUCAUAUGUCAUCUGAUAAGGAAACAAGCAUUGCUUCCAUUAAAUCUAAGCUAGUUAGCAGAAACAAGGUGAGAACCUUGUUUGGUUGA